AUUGAACGCUGGCGGCAGGCCUAACACAUGCAAGUCGAGCGGAUGAAGGGAGCUUGCUCCUGGAUUCAGCGGCGGACGGGUGAGUAAUGCCUAGGAAUCUGCCUGGUAGUGGGGGAUAACGUCCGGAAACGGGCGCUAAUACCGCAUACGUCCUGAGGGAGAAAGUGGGGGAUCUUCGGACCUCACGCUAUCAGAUGAGCCUAGGUCGGAUUAGCUAGUUGGUGGGGUAAAGGCCUACCAAGGCGACGAUCCGUAACUGGUCUGAGAGGAUGAUCAGUCACACUGGAACUGAGACACGGACCAGACUCCUACGGGAGGCAGCAGUGGGGAAUAUUGGACAAUGGGCGAAAGCCUGUUCCAGCCAUGCCGCGUGUGUGAAGAAGGUCUUCGGAUUGUAAAGCACUUUAAGUUGGGAGGAAGGGCAGUAAGUUAAUACCUUGCUGUUUUGACGUUACCAACAGAAUAAGCACCGGCUAACUUCGUG
rnacentral:rRNA from 1 species